rnacentral:rRNA from 1 species
UUAAAUUGAAGAGUUUGAUCAUGGCUCAGAUUGAACGCUGGCGGCAGGCCUAACACAUGCAAGUCGAACGGUAACAGRAAGCAGCUUGCUGCUUUGCUGACGAGUGGCGGACGGGUGAGUAAUGUCUGGGAAACUGCCUGAUGGAGGGGGAUAACUACUGGAAACGGUAGCUAAUACCGCAUAACGUCGCAAGACCAAAGAGGGGGACCUU